CUAACCAGCCAUUUCACCCUGCAACUCACAACUGGCAACCCACUGAAGCUAAGCAGGUGUUAGUCUGGUCAGUACCUGGAUGGGAGACCUCCUGGGAAAAACUAAGGUUGCUGCUGGAA
ensembl:rRNA 5S_rRNA 5S ribosomal RNA